rnacentral:rRNA from 1 species
GACGAACGCUGGCGGCGUGCUUAACACAUGCAAGUCGAACGAUGAAGCGGUGGUUGCCUCGUGGAUUAGUGGCGAACGGGUGGGUAAAACGCGAGUGUCCUAUAUUUUACUCUGGGGUAUACCUGUGCCACUGGGCAGAUUACCCGAUAUGACCAUUCUCUGCCUGGUGUGUUGGCGGGAAGCGUUACGGAGUGGUUUUAGAUGGGCUCACGGCCUAUCAGCUUGUUGGUGAGGUAAUGGCUCACCAAGGCGAAGACGGGUAGCGGGCCUGAGAGGGUGACGCGCCACACUGGGAGUGAGACACGGCACAGUCUCAUACGGGAGGCAGCAGUGGGGUAUAUUGCAAAAGGGGAGCGAGCCUGAUGGAGCGACGCCGUGUGAGGGAUGACGGCCUACGGGGUGAAGACCUCUGUUAGCGGAGAAGGAGCGAAAGUGACGGUAGGUGCAGAGAAAGCGCCGGCUAACUACGUG